UGUUGGGAGGGAGAGUUUCUCUCUCUAGGGUUUCUUUCUGAAUCUGAAAAUGAAAUUUGAAAUCUUUCCUUCCCCUUUCACACAGACCCCUCCACUAAUUCAAUAAUCCAUGUCAUUUUUUAUUUUUUUUAUUUUCUUAAACUUCAACCAAUGAGAACGUGACAUGUCAUUGGUGUCAAAAAUUUGUCACCACAGAGAUGUCAAAGU
rnacentral:lncRNA from 1 species